GGCCGCCUGGAGGCCCAGAAGCGAGAGCUGCAGCAGGCGGUUCUGCAAAUGGAACAGAGGAAACAGCAGCAGCAGCAGCAGCAGCAGCAGCAAGGCCAACCAGCCCCAGCCCCUGGCCCCGAGGGACAGCUCAUGUUCCAGCCCCACAACACAGAUGACGCUCCUGUCCCAGCUCCAGCCGGGGACCAGAAGGAAGCAGUUGCUUCAGAAAAGAAGGUCCCUGAACAGCCCCCGGAGCUGCCCCCGCUGGAUGCCCAGCACCUGUGACCCUGCAGGAAGGUGGCAUCUGGGCUCCUACGGACGCAGCUGCUGGGAGGACGGGGAAGCGUCACAAUCCGCCUCCUCUGAGGACAACACGGGGCCUCCUAGGGAAGUGGGAUGAGGCGGCCCUUCCCACUUUGCUACCCAGGCCCCUAUCUGCUGCUUAGCUUCCAGCCUCCGGGUGUGUGGUCCCUGGUCUCUGUCCCCCUCCAGGGACCUGCUCCUGGUGUUCAGUGGGGGCACUCACAGGGUCAGCUAGCUUAGGGGCCGCCUCCCUCCUGGGGGGAGGGGGUCCGCCAUGUCCCUGCCUUGUAGGUGGACCGGCCUCGCUGCUCCGGGUUGGGGCCACUCCAGCAUCCUGCAUCCCACAGCUGCUGCUCUGGGCCCGUUUCUGCUGCUUUAUGGGGCGUGGGUGGUCCCUCGAGACCUUUCUCUGCCUUUUGUGGGACCAGCGAUGCCUUGAAGACUGUGUAGCCCACGGCUGGGCCGACUCCCUGACCCCUGGCUUUCAGCCUCCUCAGCCUCGGCCCCUCGCCCACUCAGCCACAGGAGGGUCCCAGAGCUGACCCCGCCCAGGAUCAGGUUCCCGCCCCUCAGCCUCCGUGGGAGGCCCAGGCCCUCCUUCCCGGCCUUAUCUCACUGCUGUGUGGCCUGCUGUGUAUCCCGCUCCAUCCAAAUACACUUCCUGGAACAAG